GAUGAACGCUGGCGGCGUGCCUAAUACAUGCAAGUCGAGCGAACGGACGAGAAGCUUGCUUCUCUGAUGUUAGCGGCGGACGGGUGAGUAACACGUGGAUAACCUACCUAUAAGACUGGGAUAACUUCGGGAAACCGGAGCUACUACCGGAUGAUAUUUUGAACCGCAUGGUUCAAAAGUGAAAGACGGUCUUGCUGUCACUUAUAGAUGGAGCCGCGCUGCAUUAGCUAGUUGGUAAGGUAACGGCUUACCAAGGCAACGAUGCAUAGCCGACCUGAGAGGGUGAUCGGCCACACUGGAACUGAGACACGGUCCAGACUCCUACGGGAGGCAGCAGUAGGGAAUCUUCCGCAAUGGGCGAAAGCCUGACGGAGCAACGCCGCGUGAGUGAUGAAGGUCUUCGGAUCGUAAAACUCUGUUAUUAGGGAAGAACAUAUGUGUAAGUAACUGUGCACAUCUUGACGGUACCUAAUCAGAAAGCCACGGCUAACUACGUG
rnacentral:rRNA from 1 species